UACGAAGGGGGCUAGCGUUGUUCGGAAUCACUGGGCGUAAAGGGCGCGUAGGCGGCCGAUCAAGUCGGGGGUGAAAGCCUGUGGCUCAACCACAGAAUUGCCUUCGAUACUGUUUGGCUUGAGACCGGAAGAGGUUAGUGGAACUGCGAGUGUAGAGGUGAAAUUCGUAGAUAUUCGCAAGAACACCAGUGGCGAAGGCGGCUUUCUGGCCCGUUCUUGACGCUGAGGCGCGAAAGCUAGGGUAGCAAACGGG
rnacentral:rRNA from 1 species